AAAAACUGCAGGCCCUGGGUGUAAGGGCAAUGCUCUUGACAGCAAACACCUGGGUGUCCGAGGUGUUACUGCCCCGUUGCCACUUAGUAGGCGAACGCUACUACAUGUGUGGACAGAAUGCGGGACAUUUAUGGACUUCUUGUUCACGACUGGGUCCUACCAGAUGCCACACGCCAGUUGGAUGAACCCUCAUCAGCCCCAGUCGAACAACCAACUGGACCAGUAGCUCCACCAGAUCCCCAGCAAACACUGGCUCCACCUGAUCCCCGAAGGGCCCCAACUGGACCAGUAAUGGCCCCACCAGACCCAGUGGAGGUUGUCCCUCAGCAACCUCCACUACAUCAGUGAAGUUCCUGACUAGGCCACCAGCAGCCCCAACUGGACCAUCAACCUCUGGUUCCCAUUCCUCAGAAGGAACUCCAGCUGCCCCAGUUGCUUUAGAAAAAGUAAUAGAUGACAUUGUGAAAGAAGGCUGUCCUGCUCCCAGUGCAGUGCUGAAACGGAAAAGGAAAGAGAGUCCAGUCAGCACACAGUCAUAGAGGAGUAAAACGUAUUCACACCGACCCGAGAGGAUAAAAUCCUAAUGAAAUAAAUGAACACUUGAUUAAUGUAGUAGUUGAUCAAUAGUUGAUUCAUUGUUGCCACUCUAAAUGAAUGUGCUUACAGUUUGAAUGCUCCACCUUUCAUUUUAAAUAUGUCCUGUAGUGUGGGAUUUGCAUUGUCCAGUCUUGGUCAUCACUCAGUCUCAGUUUAGAUGUUCUUAAGUAAGAGCAUAAGCUGACAGUGAAUGAGACUGUGAUCUUUUAUUUUCCCCACUGGUCUCAUUGCUACACAUUUCCCUUAAUUCAUACAGUAAGUGUGUCCAUUCUUUGUAAACAGACACGUCUACUGACACAUGAUUUUGGUGUGAUCUUGGUUUUCAAAGACAAAAAAAAUACCCUAGUCUCUGCUGUGAAGUGCUCUACUCUUCUAUGAAACAGUCAUUUGAAUUGAUUUUGAUUCAUUUGAGCACUGAUGACUGCCCAUAUAUAUUUAUCCUCUCAUCCAUCUCUAUAGUCCAUUGAUUACAGUCAUUUACCAAUGAUGCAUGCAAGCUCUGUACCAGAAUAACUACAUAUCUUCCCUUUCAGAAUGCCCACAUACAGUAUCAGGGAGCAAAGAGUUCUACCCUGUGAAGAGGGUUGCCUAAUGCAAAGUUUUAAAGGUUCAAUAAUCCCACACAGAGUCAUUCACCUGCUGACGUUUCCUAGAACUCUCAUGUUAGAGAAUCUACAGUCAUAAAGUGCUGAUAGUCUUUAUGUAAUCUGUGUAAUAAUCCUGAAAGAGUAUUCAAGACGGAGGUAUAGCCAAAGAUUUGAACUGAAUAGGGACAAAAAUUGCAACUGGUGGAGUGGGAGCCGUGCAAGUCCUGGUAUGUAUGACUUGUGAUCACAGCAUAUCUUAUUUGAUACCAACACUGAGAACAUUCACAUGCACACCAAUAAUCUUUGUUUAUGAUACUGGCAAAGUGCUCUCUGUAGCCCGACGUGUGCCUCCAAAAAAUGUCGUCAUCAGUCGAGGCAACUGAGACCAAUGGAGACCGCGGUGCUGUCAUUAGUCAGUUAAC